rnacentral:other from 1 species
GUUGGUGACUGCCAACAAUGUUUUACGAUCUAUGUUUGUUUCAAACGGGAACCAAGCUGUGUCGGUGGCGGUAUACCGGGCCUAGUACCCGGAAACCUUAAGCCUGAUGCCACGGUACCCACCUGGUUUAUCCAGGUCGGAAGCUGAGGUAAGACGGCGUUGCGGUGAACAU